UUCCAGCUGUAAAGAUCAAGA
rnacentral:miRNA from 1 species